rnacentral:miRNA from 1 species
UAUCCGUGCUGAGAUUUCGUU